rnacentral:rRNA from 1 species
AGCAGUCGCCACGGUAAUACGGAGGGUGCAAGCGUUAAUCGGAAUUACUGGGCGUAAAGCGCACGCAGGCGGUCUGUCAAGUCAGAUGUGAAAUCCCCGGGCUUAACCUGGGAACUGCAUUUGAAACUGGCAGGCUAGAGUCUUGUAGAGGGGGGUAGAAUUCCAGGUGUAGCGGUGAAAUGCGUAGAGAUCUGGAGGAAUACCGGUGGCGAAGGCGGCCCCCUGGACAAAGACUGACGCUCAGGUGCGAAAGCGUGGGGAGCAAACAGGAUUAGAUACCCCGGUAGUCCCUGUCUCUUAUAC